UGACACUUAUUUCUCAAGUAGUAUCCAGGC
rnacentral:piRNA from 1 species